GACGAACGCUGGCGGCGUGCUUAACACAUGCAAGUCGAACGGAAAGGCCCUGCUUUUGUGGGGUGCUCGAGUGGCGAACGGGUGAGUAACACGUGGGUAACCUGCCCUUGACUUUGGGAUAACUUAAGGAAACUGGGGGUAAUACCGGAUAGGAGCUCCUGCUGCAUGGUGGGGGUUGGAAGGUUUCGGCGGUUGGGGAGGGACUCGCGGCUUAUCAGCUUGUUGCUGGGGUAGUGGCUUACCAAGGCUUUGACGGGUAGCCGGGCUGAGAGGGUGACCGGCCAAACUGGGACUGAGCUACGGCCCAGACUCCUACGGGAGGCAGCAGUGGGGAAGAGUGCACAAUGGGCGGAAGCCUGAUGCAGCAACGCCGCGUGCGGGAUGACGGCCUUCGGGUUGUAAACCGCUUCCGCCUGUGCCGAAGCGUGAGUGACGGUAAUGGGUAAAGAAGCACCGGCUAACUACGUG
rnacentral:rRNA from 1 species